rnacentral:rRNA from 1 species
AAAAACAUAACUUAUAGAACUAAUUAUAAGCAUAACCUGCUCAAUGAAUAUUAAAUAGCCGCAGUUUAUCUGUGCUAAGGUAGCAUAAUCAUUUGUUUUCUAAUUAAAAACUUGAAUGAAAGGUUUCACAUUUUAAUUUUUUUAUUUUAAAAUAUUAAUUAAAAUUAUAUUUAAUGUAAAAAUACAUUAAUUUUAAAAAUAGACGACAAGACCCUAUCGAACUUAACUUUUGUUUAGCUGGGGCAGCUAAUUAAAUAAAAUUUUAAUAACUUAAGACAAUAAAUGAUCCAAUAAAAUUGAUUACUUAAUCAAGUUACCGUAGGGAUAACAGCGUAAUAUUCUUUAAAAGCUCUUAUUAAAAAGAAAAUUUGCGACCUCGAUGUUGAAUU